UUUAUUUUAAUUAUGAUAUAGAUUUUUAUUUAAUUUUUAUUAAAAGUUUUAUAUUUUAUAGUAAUGGGUAUAGAAAUAUUUUUUUUAUAGUACUGAAAAGGAUUUUUAUUUUUAUAAGGAUAGUAGAAAUUAAAGUUUGUACCUUUUGCAUAAUGGUUUGAUAAUAUUUAUUGAUAUAUUUUUAUGUUCUCGAAAUAUAAAGAUUUAUUUACUUUAUAGUUUUAGUAAUAGUUAACGUAGUAUAGUUAUUAUUUUAGAGGUAAAUGGUAGUGAAAUGUUAUUCGGUUUAUAUGGUAGCUAGUUUAUUGUUAUGAACAUUUUAGUGUUAUUUAAUGUUAAUUAUUUUAUUGAUAAUUGUAACUUUAAUUUAGUUAUCAAGGGAUAAGCUUUGAGACUUGAUUUGUAAGAAUUAUAAUGUGAUUAUUUAGUUAAGGUUGAAUUAAUAGUUUUUCUUUUUUAUAAAUGUUAAUAGUUGUAUUUUGUUUUAUUCUUAAUUUUUGUUCAAUAAAUUUUUUUUAUUAGUAUAAAAUUAAAUAUAAUGUUAAAAUGAGUAUUUUUUAUUGUUUAUUUUAAUACCUUUAAAAUUUGUUUAUGAAAAUUAGGUUUUUAUUAUAUAUAUAUGGAUAAAGUAAGAUAAAGGAACUUUGCAAAUAUUAAUUUCGCCUGUUUAUCAAAAACAUGUCUCUUUGAGUUUUUUUAAUGGAGAGUUGGGCCUGCUCGGUGAUUUAUAUUUAACAGCUGCGGUAUUAUAACUGUACUAAGGUAGCAUAAUAAUUUGCCUUAUAAAUUGAGGCUAGAAUGAAUGGUUUGACGAAAAUUAUACUGUCUCUAUUUUAUUCAUUAGAAGUUAAUUUUUAUAGUGAGAAAGCUUGGAUGAUUUAAAGGGACGAAAAGACCCUAUUGAGCUUUAUAUUAUAUUUUAAAUAUAAUUUGUUUUGUAUUUAUUUAAAUAUAAUUUUGGUUGGGGUGAUCAAGGAAUAAAGUAUAUUUGUAUUAACUUCCUUAGAUAUUAUAUAUAAAUAAAUUAAUAAACCAAAUUUAUUGCUUAGAAGAUAAGUUACCAUAGGGAUAACAGCGUAAUUUUUUUUGAAAGUUCAUAUUGAAAAAAGAGAUUGCGACCUCGAUGUUGGAUUAAAAUAACCUUAAGGUGGAGAGGCUUUAAUUGGUAAAUCUGUUCGAUUUUUAAAAUUUUACAUGAUCUGAGUUCAAACCGGUGUAAACCAGGUUGGUUUUUAUCUUUUAAAUUUAUUUUUGUGUUUAAUUUAGUACGAAAGGAUUAAUUAAAAUUAAUUUAUAUAUUAAUUUUAUAAGAUUUUU
rnacentral:rRNA from 1 species